CGUGGACGCGAGUGAGCUAUCUAUGCUGCCAUGUCAAUAUAUCUUCUAUUUGCCCUGUGUUUGUUUUCAAACGUCCUAGCGCAGUGGAGCCCCAGGACUUGCCAAUCUAGCGGCUUUAAAUGCUGGCCCUUCGCUCUCUGCCCUCUACAGAACAUGGUGUUUGUGCAUGGCUGUAAGGGCCUUACAGUUUGCUGUGACCUAAGACCGACCAUUUCCUGCUCCUUGGAUGUAGGAUUUUGUCACAAAAGCUGCAAACAUACAAAUAUGCGCGCCACUUGCCCUGGACAACAGAAAUGCUGCCUCAACUUCCCCAAGUUGUGGCAAUCGUAACUCACAUCUUCGGUGCAGAAACCGAUUAAGACAUUACCUUUAACAUUUCGUUCACUAAAAGCCUCAAAUCCUAUAGUUGCGCAACAACAAG